AUUGAACGCUGGCGGCAGGCCUAACACAUGCAAGUCGAACGAGUGGCGGACGGGUGAGUAAUGUCUGGGAAACUGCCUGAUGGAGGGGGAUAACUACUGGAAACGGUAGAUAAUACCGCAUACCAUCGGAUGUGCCCAGAUGGGAUUAGCUAGUCGGUGGGGUAAAGGCUCACCUAGGCGACGAUCCCUAGCUGGUCUGAGCGGGUGACCGUCCACACUGGAACUGCGACACGGUCCAGACUCCUACGGGAGGCAGCAGUGGGGAAUAUUGCACAAUGGGCGCAAGCCUGAUGCAGCCAUGCCGCGUGUAUGAAGAAGGCCUUCGGGUUGUAAAGUACUGUCAGCGGGGAGGCGUUACCCACAGAGGAAGCACUGGCUAACUCCGUGCCAGCAGCCGCGGUAAUAC
rnacentral:rRNA from 1 species